rnacentral:rRNA from 1 species
UACGUAGGCAGCGAGCGUUGUUCGGAGUUACUGGGCGUAAAGCGCGUGUAGGCGGCCCGGUAAGUCCGCUGUGAAAGUCCAGGGCUCAACCCUGGGAUGCCGGUGGAUACUGUCGGGCUCGAGUCCGGAAGAGGCGAGUGGAAUUCCUGGUGUAGCGGUGAAAUGCGCAGAUAUCAGGAGGAACACCAAUGGCGAAGGCAGCUCGCUGGGACGUGACUGACGCUGAGACGCGAAAGCGUGGGGAGCAAACAGG